rnacentral:rRNA from 1 species
AGAACGAACGCUGGCGGCAGGCUUAACACAUGCAGGUCGAACGCUCGUAGCAAUACGGGAGUGGCAGACGGGUGAGUAACGCGUGGGAACAUACCCUCCGGUUCGGAAUAGCUCAGGGAAACUUGGAUUAAUACCGGAUACGGCCGAGAGGCGAAAGAUUUAUCGCCGGAGGAUUGGCCCGCGUUCGAUUAGCUAGUUGGUGAGGUAACGGCUCACCAAGGCGAUGAUCGAUAGCUGGUCUGAGAGGAUGAUCAGCCACAUUGGGACUGAGACACGGCCCAAACUCCUACGGGAGGCAGCAGUGGGGAAUAUUGGACAAUGGGCGCAAGCCUGAUCCAGCCAUGCCGCGUGAGUGAUGACGGCCUUAGGGUUGUAAAGCUCUUUCGCUCGGGACGAUAAUGACGGUACCGAGAUAAGACGCCCCGGCUAACUUCGCGCCAGCAGCCGC